GUGCAAACAGCCCGAAAUCUGCAAUUCAAAUAUUAACAGUUUUAACAGAGUUGUCAUGCUUUACUGCUGUGGUUUAUUUUUAUUCUUGGAAACCGCAGAGCCAUAGGCAGUAAAAGAAAGGGUAGAGCUUACUUCGCAUUUGACGCAGUAGCGUGCUCGUGUCAGUAGGGGGCGCAAUAUGUUUGACACUCACUGCUGUCAAUCACAGUGGAAAGAUCUGGAACCACGUUGAACCCACUCCAGUGAGGGCUCUCAUUCACGGGUAAAAAAAGAAGAAAUAAAUAUAUAAUUAUGCUUUAAUUCCGCUACAGAUCCACAAUGAAGAACCUUUUCUUCCUGUUUGGAACCCACCGUGAUAUUCUACCAUCAGACACAAGAAAUUGAUGAAAUGGAGCUGCACUUCACUUGGUUGUGUCAAAGAGACUUAAAACAGUACAACUCUGAACAGAGGUCAAAGGUCGACUCUACAGGAAGCUGGAGUAGAAUGUGACAAACCACCUGGAUUAAGUCUCCAACAUUUACACCUGCUGUGUGUUACAUGCCUGUGUCUGCAGUUGUCGAUCUCCACCUGCUUUUGGAACAGCUGAAUAAGAUCUGAUCAUCACCCACAUUAGUGCAUUACAUUUGUAUUGUUUAAUAUAGAGCAACAAAAUGUACUUUUUUUUUUUUUUUUUUUAAUCAUUUAUCUAUUUCUUUUAAAGGUCAUAUCAACUAUUCAUCAUCACAAAAUAAACCCUCUGGAGUUUUGUUGCCAUUUUUUUAAAUUGUUGUUUUUAUAUGAUUUAUAAAGUACACUAUGCUUAUAAUGUAGUGUUUAAUUAUAGCAUAUUUUUAGCAUUAAAUUAAUAAAUAAAACAACAGUUUGUUUCAGGUUUAUUAGCAUGAGAAUUUACAUGUUUCGUUUCUGGUGGUAACGUGUCCUUUUAAAGGUGAGGUGGUUUUGUGAGGCCUCCCUGGACUAAUAUAUUCUGAUUCCUUGUUUAUUUCUAAAGGUUGAGUAAAAGGAUACGUGCUGUUGUGUUUGUCCUUCAAACAAGUGCUGUACUUUGUGUACCUGUGCUUGCCAAAAAAAGGAGGAAAAAACACCCCAUAAACACAAUUUAAGUUUCAAACAUUUACUCAUGAAUAAUAUCUGAACAAAUUGAUGGAGGUAAAAUAAACUAGUAUUUAGGAGCCUUAAUAAGUCCCCAUGCUAAUUGUGCUGGCCUCCUUGGAGUCGCAAAAUAAAUACUUAAUUGUACAUAAAAUCACUUCAUUCAUAACAAUGUUAAACUGUACUAAAGCCUAGUGCACACUAGAAGACAAAAUCUCGUCCUCCGUGUCUCAUGUCUGCAAAAUCAAUACAAAAUCACAAAUAUGUCCAUGGAUCUAUGCAGGAACAAAAUUUCAGGAUCAUUCCCACAAAGACAAAGAAGAGAAUGAUCUUAAAGUGAAGA